CGAAACUGCGAAUGGCUCAUUAUAUAAGUUAUCGUUUAUUUGAUAGCACCUUACUACUUGGAUAACCGUGGUAAUUCUAGAGCUAAUACAUGCUAAAAAUCCCGACUCCGGAAGGGAUGUAUUUAUUAGAUUAAAAACCAAUGCCCUCUGGGCUCUCUGGUGAUUCAUGAUAACUUCUCGAAUCGCAUGGCCUUGCGCCGGCGAUGGUUCAUUCAAAUUUCUUCCCUAUCAACUUUCGAUGUUUGGGUAGUGGCCAAACAUGGUUGCAACGGGUAACGGAGGGUUAGGGCUCGACCCCGGAGAAGGAGCCUGAGAAACGGCUACUACAUCCAAGGAAGGCAGCAGGCGCGCAAAUUACCCAAUCCCGACACGGGGAGGUAGUGACAAUAAAUACUGAUACAGGGCUCUUUUGGGUCUUGUAAUUGGAAUGAGUACAAUUUAAAUCCCUUAACGAGGAACAAUUGGAGGGCAAGUCUGGUGCCAGCAGCCGCGGUAAUUCCAGCUCCAAUAGCGUAUAUUAAAGUUGUUGUGGUUAAAAAGCUCGUAGUUGAACCUUGGGCCUGGCUGGCCGGUCCGCCUCACCGCGUGCACUGGUCCGGCCGGGCCUUUCCCUCUGUGGAACCCCAUGCCCUUCACUGGGUGUGGCGGGGAAACAGGACUUUUACUUUGAAAAAAUUAGAGUGCUCCAGGCAGGCCUAUGCUCGAAUACAUUAGCAUGGAAUAAUGAAAUAGGACGUGCGGUUCUAUUUUGUUGGUUUCUAGGACCGCCGUAAUGAUUAAUAGGGACAGUCGGGGGCAUCAGUAUUCAAUUGUCAGAGGUGAAAUUCUUGGAUUUAUUGAAGACUAACUACUGCGAAAGCAUUUGCCAAGGAUGUUUUCAUUAAUCAGGAACGAAAGUUAGGGGAUCGAAGACGAUCAGAUACCGUCGUAGUCUUAACCAUAAACUAUGCCGACUAGGGAUCGGACGAUGUUAUUUUUUGACUCGUUCGGCACCUUACGAGAAAUCAAAGUGCU
rnacentral:rRNA from 1 species